rnacentral:rRNA from 1 species
GAUGAACGCUAGCGGCGGGCUUAAUACAUGCAAGUCGAGGGGUAGCAAUACACCGGCGCACGGGUGCGUAACGCGUAUGCAACCUACCUUUAUCUGGGGGAUAGCCCGGGGAAACCCGGAUUAAUACCGCAUAACAAAUUGAUUGGCAUCAAUUGAUUUUAAAAGAUUUAUCGGAUAGAGAUGGGCAUGCGUAAGAUUAGAUAGUAGGCGAGGUAACGGCUCACCAAGUCUACGAUCUUUAGGGGCUCUGAGAGGAGAAUCCCCCACACUGGCCAUGAGAUACGGGCCAGACUCCUACGGGAGGCAGCAGUAGGGAAUAUUGGGCAAUGGGCGCAAGCCUGACCCAGCCACGCCGCGUGCAGGAAGACGGCCCUCUGGGUUGUAAACUGCUUUUGACUGGGAAGAAAAGACUCCUUGCGAGGAGAGUUGACGGUACCAGCAGAAUAAGCCACGGCUAACUACGUGCCAGCCGCCGCCGUAAGAC